UCCAAGGCGACCAGCUUCCAAAUAAUUUUGGCCAAAGAAAAUAUGGUUCCUCCAUGAUUCUAACAUCUUAUAACAAUUCCUAGUAGAGAAAAUUCUGUGAGGACUUGGGACUGCACCACAAAAAAAGAAAAAUAUUAGAUCUGUUGUUUAAUUUUAUACGAAUAGGAAUUUCUAUGAACUUCAACAGCUCCUUGACAACAACAUCAGUUAAACUGGUUCCUGAUAUGAGGUAGAAUCCGGUAGAGCUCGG
rnacentral:lncRNA from 1 species